rnacentral:rRNA from 1 species
UGGGGAAUUUUGGACAAUGGGGGCAACCCUGAUCCAGCCAUGCCGCGUGAGUGAAGAAGGCCUUCGGGUUGUAAAGCUCUUUCGGUGGGAACGAAACGGUGGAUGUUAAUACCGUCCACUACUGACGGUACUCACAGAAGAAGCACCGGCUAACUACGUGCCAGCAGCCGCGGUAAUACGUAGGGUGCGAGCGUUAAUCGGAAUUACUGGGCGUAAAGCGUGCGCAGGCGGCUUGCUAAGACAGGUGUGAAAGCCCCGAGCUUAACUUGGGAAUGGCGCUUGUGACUGGCAGGCUGGAGUGUGGCAGAGGGAGGUGGAAUUCCACGUGUAGCAGUGAAAUGCGUAGAGAUGUGGAGGAACACCGAUGGCGAAGGCAGCCUCCUGGGCCAACACUGACGCUCAUGCACGAAAGCGUGGGGAGCAAACAGG